rnacentral:misc_RNA from 1 species
CGAUUACUAGAAUCGCCAGAAUCUGAACUAAAUAACGUGAGUGAAGCUACACAGCAAUAUGAGUUUCACACGACCUUUUAAACGUUUAUUGCACGCGUCCACGCUUUGCAGCGCUAGAAAACGUACACAUCCAUCGGCAGAUCGCAAUUCGCAGCCGAUAUCGGAGGCCCUGAUCCUGCAGGUGGAUAAGAAAACACCCAACUUGCGGCUGCUUGAGAUUGCCUCUGGUUCGGGUCAGCACGCUGGCUUUUUGGCGCCUUUGCUACCGAAUAUAAGUUUUCAAACUACGGAAUAUUCACGCCACGAUUUCGACUCAAUUAACGCUUAUGCCGAGGACUGUGUCACGGGUAACAUUUGCCCGCCACUCUUUGUUGACAUUUCGCAGGAGCUGCAUCAAUGGGAAGCGGACACUGUGAAGCAGGUGAAGCCUGCCAGCUACGAUUACAUGCUGAACUGCAACAUGAUGCACAUUAGCCCAUGGGCAUGCUCCGAGGGUCUGUUUCGUGCUGCCGGCCAGCUGCUUAAGACUGGCGGCAAACUGUUCACCUAUGGACCCUAUGCGCAGGAUGGCCAGUUGACGCCCCAAAGCAAUGUAGACUUUGAUGCAGACUUAAGGCGUCGCAACGCAUCGUGGGGCAUCAGGGAUAUCAGGGAUCUGAAACAGUUGGCGGCUGUGAAUGGUUUGCAGUUGGAUCGAGUGACCGAUAUGCCGUCCAACAAUAAAUUCCUGACUUGGCUUAAACUUGAUUCGUACAUGUAAACGGCCAGUAGGCGAUUAAAAAAGGCAGAGUUGCAAAUGUUUUGCUUCGAGAUCAAUUUAUUUGGUAUCUCCCUUUAAAAUUGUAUGACGGCUGAUGUAAUGCAAUGGAUGCCUUGCACCGAUGGAAGAAUUCCAAAUACGUAAGGCUCCAAUCUAUUCAACAGAUUUCCUAGGGUCCAAAAAGGCACAAUAAUCGGAAUUCAGCUAC